rnacentral:rRNA from 1 species
UACAGAGGGUGCGAGCGUUAAUCGGAUUUACUGGGCGUAAAGGGUGCGUAGGUGGUAAAGCAAGUAAGAUGUGAAAGCCCUGGGCUUAACCUGGGAAGUGCAUCUUAAACUGCUUAACUAGAGUAUGGUAGAGGGUAGUGGAAUUUCCGGUGUAGCGGUGAAAUGCGUAGAGAUCGGAAGGAACGCCAGUGGUGAAGACGACUACCUGGACCAAUACUGACACUGAGGUACGAAAGCGUGGGGAUCAAACAGGA